AUGAUGAUGUGUCCUCCAGGAGAGAUGAUGGUGGUGGUGGUGGUGGUGGUGAUAUUGUGUCCUCCAGGAGAGAUGAUGGUGGUGGUGGUGGUAUUGUGUCCUCCAGGAGAGAUGGUGGUGAUGGUGAUAUUGUGUCCUCCAGGAGAGAUGAUGGUGGUGGUGAUAUUGUGUCCUCCAGGAGAGAUGAUGGUGGUGAUAUUGUGUCCUCCAGGAGAGAUGAUGGUGGUGGUGGUGGUGAUAUUUUGUCCUCCAGGAGAGAUGGUGGUGGUGGUGAUAUUGUGUCCUCCAGGAGAGAUGAUGGUGGUGGUGGUGGUGGUGGUGAUAUUGUGUCCUCCAGGAGAGAUGAUGGUGGUGGUGAUAUUUUGUCCUCCAGGAGAGAUGAUGGUGGUGGUGAUAUUUUGUCCUCCAGGAGAGAUGAUGGUGGUGGUGGUAUUGUGUCCUCCAGGAGAGAUGGUGGUGGUGGUGGUAUUGUGUCCUCCAGGAGAGAUGGUGGUGGUGAUAUUGUGUCCUCCAGGAGAGAUGGUGGUGGUAUUGUGUCCUCCAGGAGAGAUGGUGGUGGUGGUGGUGGUGGUGGUGAUAUUGUGUCCGCCAGGAGAGAUGGUGGUGGUGGUGGUGGUGGUGAUGGUAUUGUGUCCUACAGGAGAGAUGGUGGUGAUAUUGUGUCCUCCAGGAGAGAUGAUGGUGGUGGUGAUGGUAUUGUGUCCUCCAGGAGAGAUGGUGGUGGUGAUAUUGUGUCCUCCAGGAGAGAUGGUGGUGGUAUUGUGUCCUCCAGGAGAGAUGGUGGUGGUGGUGAUGGUAUUGUGUCCUCCAGGAGAGAUGAUGGUGGUGAUAUUGUGUCCUCCAGGAGAGAUGGUGGUGGUGGUGGUAUUGUGUCCUCCAGGAGAGAUGGUGGUGGUGGUAUUGUGUCCUCCAGGAGAGAUGAUGGUGGUGGUGAUGGUAUUGUGUCCUCCAGGAGAGAUGAUGGUGGUGGUGGUGAUAUUGUGUCCGCCAGGAGAGAUGGUGGUGGUGGUGAUAUUGUGUCCUCCAGGAGAGAUGGUGGUGGUAUUGUGUCCUCCAGGAGAGAUGAUGGUGGUGAUAUUGUGUCCUCCAGGAGAGAUGGUGGUGGUGAUGGUAUUGUGUCCUCCAGGAGAGAUGAUGGUGGUGGUGAUAUUGUGUCCUCCAGGAGAGAUGGUGGAGGUGGUGGUAUUGUGUCCUCCAGGAGAGAUGGUGGUGGUGGUGGUGGUGGUAUUGUGUCCUCCAGGAGAGAUGGUGGUGGUGGUGGUGGUGGUAUUGUGUCCUCCAGGAGAGAUGAUGAGUCUGGCUGCCCAACUGAUUGGCAAACGUACUGCAAAUUAA
rnacentral:lncRNA from 8 species